rnacentral:rRNA from 1 species
CCUACGGGUGGCAGCAGUGGGGAAUAUUGGGCAAUGGGCGCAAGCCUGACCCAGCAACGCCGCGUGAAGGAAGAAGGCUCUCCGGUUGUAAACUUCUUUUCUCAGGGACGAAGAAAGUGACGGUACCUGAGGAAUAAGCCUCGGCUAACUACGGGCCAGCAGCCGCGGUAAUACGUAGGGGGCAGUCGUUAUCCGGAUUCAGUGGGUGUAAAGGGCGAGUGGGCGGGAGCGGAAGUCAGAUGGGAAAACUCAGGGCUCAACCCUGAGCCUGCAUUUGAAACGGUGUUUCUUGAGUGCUGGAGAGGCAAGCGGAAUGCCGUGUGUAGCGGUGAAAUGCGUAGAUAUCCGGAGGAACACCAGUGGCGAAGGCGGAUUGCUGGACAGUAACUGACGCUGAAGCGCGAAAGCGUGGGGAGCAAACAGGAUUAGAUACCCUGGUAGUC